rnacentral:snRNA from 1 species
GUGCUCGCUUUGGCAGCACAUAUACUAAAAUUGGAAUGAUACAGAGAUUAGCAUGGCCCCUGCGCAAGGAUGAUAUGCAAAUUCGUAAAAAGUUCAAAACCAUU